rnacentral:rRNA from 1 species
AAACUUACUGUCUGAGAAGGCCAUGUGCCGUAAUCUUUAAACAUUUUAAAACUUUCAACAACGGAUCUCUUGGUUCUCGCAUCGAUGAAGAACGCAGCGAAAUGCGAUAAGUAAUGUGAAUUGCAGAAUUCAGUGAAUCAUCGAAUCUUUGAACGCACAUUGCGCCCUUUGGUAUUCCAUAGGGCAUGCCUGUUCGAGCGUCACUAAAAACCUCAUCACAAAGAGUGUGGUAUUGGCAGAAGUGGGUAGGGCUAGCAAGGAAGUGCUGGCCCCACUCUGCUAGAAUGAAUAGGCCGGAAAUGUAGACCAUGGUAACAGACUUUCAGAGUAUCGUCAAAUGCUAAAUUAGUUUGUAUGCUUGGUCAGAAUCUAGGCCAUUGGACCCCCAUUCUGUAUAAAGCAGUAAUGUUGACCUCGGAUCAGGUAGGGAUACCCGCUGAACUUAAGCAUAUCAAUAAGCGGA